UUCCUUGUAAGUACGUGAGACACACGUUCCUUAGCCACGUUUUUCUUUCGAUCGUUGAAGAGUAAGCAGCUAGAACUUUUGUCUUCUGUGGAAGUUUUUUUGUGAAGACUUUUAAUUCUCUUUUAACCACUCGGCGAUUGUUUUGAAAUCGUUUACUUUCGAGCACCCAAAGACUGUUUUCUUUCCUUGGUGAUGUGUCUUGAAAUCACGACGAUGAAAGGAAACUACCAGAAGGACAUCAAGACCGCGCCUGUUCAUAAGAAAAAGUGGUCAAAAUCAAAGAAGAGGACAUUUCUGCGUGCAAAUAUGGGCGAAAGGAGACGAAAGGUCCGCGUUUGGUCGGCCAGGAGACCACAGCCGAGUCCGGACCGUGUCGAUAGCACAUCUACGGGAAAUCAAAGUUAUGUACCAUCUGUAGCCAUGGCACCAAGAAACACAACGCAGUAUUUAAUGGACUUGGUGUACGCUGAACAAUCAGAUGUUUCAAUGGAGGCGUUUGAUGUAAGCCGUGAUUUCUCAAUGUACAGUAAUGAGGGUGUUUUCUCAACGUCAGACUCUGAUUACGACAGAUCUUUGGAAUUUCAACAGCGAGACUUCGAGAACGUCUUCUUCAGGAAUGAAAUCUGACGUGUUUCCGAAACCUGACUCGAUUGAUUUCGUCGGAACGAGAUGACCGCGACAGCUGUGAAAACCAUAGACAGUAAAAUCAUUGCGCAGACUCCAACUCAAGGAGGCGGAACGCUCUGCGUCACAGCGGCGCGAUGACGUGUACCCCACGCCCCGCCCCCAGUACGGCCACCACCACGUGGCCAGCAGGUAAACCCGCUCCACCCUUUGUGUACGCGGUGUAAGAGCGUUGCAGUAACGUGCAGACGCAGUGUAAUUACUGAGAAAUGUGCAUGCAUUGUUCUGCCAACGGAUGCAUGUGUGUUUUGGGAGACUUUUACAGGUUGCUGAUCCUCCUCGGUGGAUUUCAGCUGUCUGUGCAACCCACCCAGAGCCUUGGGACAAAGCUGCAUCACUGCUGGGCAACUGUACAUGCUGUGGUAAAUGUUUGAAUGUAAAUUCACACAAGUGCACUCAAAACUACAACUCAUGUGAUAUGAUAUACUUUGUGAGAAAUUUUGUAAAUAUUGAUUGUAUAAACUAUUAAAAUGUGUUAAUUAUUAAAACUUAAAUUUGACUUUAA